rnacentral:misc_RNA from 1 species
AAGGAGUCGUCUUUGUAUGCGAGUGUUCGGGUGUCAAACCCCUACGCGUAAUGAAAGCGAACGCAGGUGAGAGCUUCGGAGCAUCACCGAACGAUCCUGAUGUUCUCGGAUGGAUUUGAGUAAGAGCAUACGGGUCCGGACCCGAAAGAAGGUGAACUAUGCCUGUAUAGAGUGAAGCCAGAGGAAACUCUGGUGGAGGCUCGCAGCGGUUCUGACGUGCAAAUCGUUCGUCAAAUAUGGGCAUGGGGGCGAAAGACUAAUCGAACCUUCUAGUAGCUGGUUUCCUC